GAUGAACGCUAGCGGGAGGCUUAAUACAUGCAAGUCGAGCGGUAACUGACCGAUAGCAAUAUUGGUUAGCUAGAGCGGCGCACGGGUGAGUAACGCGUACAUAACCUACCCUAUACUGGGGGAUAGCCUUGGGAAACUGAGAUUAAUACCCCAUGGUAUUAUUUGGCCACCUGGUUGAAUAAUUAAAGUUGCGGCGGUAUAGGAUGGGUGUGCGUCUGAUUAGCUAGUUGGUAGGGUAACGGCCUACCAAGGCGAUGAUCAUAGGGGGCGUGAGAGCGUGGUCCCCCACACGGGUACUGAGACACGGACCCGACUCCUACGGGAGGCAGCAGUAAGGAAUAUUGGACAAUGGGCGAAAGCCUGACGCAGCAACGCCGCGUGAAGGAUGAAAUCCUUCGGGAUGUAAACUUCGCAAACCUGGGAAGAACAAAAUGACGGUACCAGGUGUAAGCCACGGCUAACUCUGUG
rnacentral:rRNA from 1 species